rnacentral:rRNA from 1 species
UACGUAGGUGGCAAGCGUUGUCCGGAAUUAUUGGGCGUAAAGCGCGCGCAGGCGGCCUCUUAAGUCUGAUGUGAAAGCCCCCGGCUCAACCGGGGAGGGCCAUUGGAAACUGGGAGGCUUGAGUAUAGGAGAGAAGAGUGGAAUUCCGACGUGUAGGCGGUGAAAUGCGUAGAGAUGUGGAGGAACACCAGUGGCGAAGGCGACUCUUUGGCCUAUAACUGACGCUGAGGCGCGAAAGCGUGGGGAGCAAACAGG